AGCAGCCGCGGUAAUUCCAGCUCCAAUAGCGUAUAUUAAAGUUGUUGCAGUUAAAAAGCUCGUAGUUGAAUUUCGGGAUCAAAGGAUCGGUCAUGCCUUGGUAUGUACUGGUUUUAUUGGUUCUCACCUUCUAAAGAACCAUAAUGUCAUUCAUUUGAUGUUAUGGGGAAUUAGGACUGUUACCUUGAAAAAUUAGAGUGUUUAAAGCAGGCUUACGCUUGAAUACAUUAGCAUGGAAUAAUGAAAUAGGACAUCAGAUUCUAUUUUGUUGGUUUCUAGGAUCGAUGUAAUGAUUAAUAGGGAUAGUUGGGGGCAUUAGUAUUCAAUUGUCAGAGGUGAAAUUCUUGGAUUUAUUGAAGACUAACUACUGCGAAAGCAUUUGCCAAGGAUGUUUUCAUUAAUCAAGAACGAAAGUUAGGGGAUCGAAGACGAUCAGAUACCGUCGUAGUCUUAACCAUAAACUAUGCCGACUAGGGAUCGGAUGAUGUUAAUUUUAUAAUGA
rnacentral:rRNA from 1 species